AUUGAACGCUGGCGGCAGGCCUAACACAUGCAAGUCGAGCGGAGCGGCGGACGGGUGAGUAAUGCCUAGGAAUCUGCCUGGUAGUGGGGGAUAACGUCCGGAAACGGGCGCUAAUACCGCAUACUCUCCGAUGAGGCUAGGUCGACUUAGCUAGUUGGUGGGGUAAAGGCCUACCAAGGCGACGAUCCCUAGCUGGUCUGAGAGGAUGACCAGCCACACUGGAACUGAGACACGGUCCAGAUUCCUACGGGAGGCAACAGGGGGGAAUAUUGCACAAUGGGCGCAAGCCUGAUGCAGCCAUGCCGCGUGUGUGAAGAAGGCCUUCGGGUUGUAAAGCACUUUCAGCGGGGAGGCGUUACCCGCAGAAGAAGCACCGGCUAACUCCGUGCCAGCAGCCGCGGUAAUAC
rnacentral:rRNA from 1 species